rnacentral:rRNA from 1 species
UACAGAGGUCCCAAGCGUUGUUCGGAUUCACUGGGCGUAAAGGGUGCGUAGGUGGUCGGGUAAGUCUGAUGUGAAAUCUCCGAGCUCAACUCGGAAAUGGCAUUGGAUACUACUUGGCUAGAGGUUGGAGGGGGACGUGGAAUGACUUGGUGUAGCAGUGAAAUGCGUAGAUAUCGUAAGGAAGACCAGUGGCGAAGGCGGGUCUCUGGACAGUUCCUGACGCUGAGGCACGAAGGUCAGGGGAGCAAACGGG